rnacentral:rRNA from 1 species
UGCGUAGGUGGCGUGGUAAGUCGGGUGUGAAAUCCCGGGGCUCAACCCCGGGACUGCAUUCGAUACUGCUGUGCUUGAGGACUGGAGAGGAGACUGGAAUUUACGGUGUAGCAGUGAAAUGCGUAGAGAUCGUAAGGAAGACCAGUGGCGAAGGCGGGUCUCUGGACAGUUCCUGACACUGAGGCACGAAGGCCAGGGAGGCAAACG